rnacentral:rRNA from 1 species
AGUCAUUUAAUUGAUGACUUGURUGAAAGAUUGGAUGAGAUAUAUUCUGUCUCUUAAUUAAAAAUAGAAUUUAAUUUUUUUAUUAAAAAGUUAAAAUAAUUUAAAAAGACGAGAAGACCCUAUAGAGUUUUAUAAAUAGGUUAAAUAAGAUUAUUUAUAUUUAUUAUAUCAAAAUUAAUUUAUUUAUUAUAUUGGGGKGAUAGAAAAAUAUAUAUAACUUUUUUUUUAAUAUAUAACAUUUAUAAGUGAUUAGUUGAUCCAGUAUUAUUGAUUAUAANAAAAAAUUACCUUAGGGAUAACAGCGUAAUUUUUUUUUUUAGUUCAUAUAAAAAAAAGAGUUUGCGACCUCGAUKUUGGAUUAAGAUAAAAUUUAAAUGU